UACGUAGGUGGCAAGCGUUGUCCGGAUUUACUGGGCGUAAAGAGCGCGCAGGCGGUCGGCCAAGUCGAGUGUGAAAGCCCCCGGCUCAACUGGGGAGGGUCAUUCGAUACUGGUCGACUCGAAGGCAGGAGAGGGAAGCGGAAUUCCCGGUGUAGUGGUGAAAUGCGCAGAUAUCAGGAAGAACACCCGUGGCUAAGGCGGCUCUCUAGUACGGUACUGACGCUGAGACGCGAAAGCGUGGGGAGCGAACAGG
rnacentral:rRNA from 1 species